GAGGGUACAGCUCAGUGGUAGAGCAUGUGCUCAGUAUGCAUAAGAUCCUGGGUUGAAUCCCCAGAACCUUCA
rnacentral:tRNA from 1 species